UACGGAGGGUGCGAGCGUUGUCCGGAAUCACUGGGCGUAAAGGGCGCGUAGGCGGCCUGAUAAGUAGGGGGUGAAAUCUUGCGGCUUAACCGCAAGGCUGCCUUCUAAACUGUCGGGCUAGAGCACAGUAGAGGCAGGUGGAAUUCCCGGUGUAGCGGUGAAAUGCGCAGAUAUCGGGAGGAACACCAGUGGCGAAGGCGGCGACCUGGGCCAAUAUUGACGCUGAGGUGCGAAAGCGUGGGGAGCAAACAGG
rnacentral:rRNA from 1 species